GCCUAGUUAGCUCAGAUGGUAGAGCGCCUGCCCCAGAAAGGCAGUGGUCCUGGGUUCGAGUCCCGGACCAGGAG